UACGUAGGGGGCAAGCGUUGUCCGGAUUUAUUGGGCGUAAAGAGCGUGUAGGCGGCCAAGCAGGUCAGCUGUGAAAACUCGAGGCUCAACCUCGAGACGUCGGUUGAAACCGCUUGGCUAGAGUCCGGAAGAGGAGAGUGGAAUUCCCGGUGUAGCGGUGAAAUGCGCAGAUAUCGGGAAGAGCACCCGUGGCGAAGGCGGCUCUCUGGGACGGUACUGACGCUGAGACGCGAAAGCGUGGGGAGCGAACAGG
rnacentral:rRNA from 1 species